UGUUCGAUUACCUCUUAUGAAGAGCUCAAGGUUGCAAACACUAAGACAUGAUUAACCAAUAUUAAGUCAAUAGGUCUUCCACCGUAGUAGAGCUGCUAAGGUCUUUCUGAUAUUGAUUUGUCUCGGCUGGAUACAGUGGGCAAGUUGCAUCGGGGGGCUGGAUCUCUCUAUAGACAUGAGAUGUUGUAGGGUAAAGGUGGGGUUGGGCACCAAUAACUGUUAGAUGAGGACCCAAUGACGACUUUAUUUCUACGGUUAUACGGUGGGUCUGACUUAACUAAGAAAUGGGACCAAUAACUGUUAGGUGAGGUCUUUAUGGCUUAGAGACCAAGUAGCACUGCA
rnacentral:lncRNA from 1 species